GACAUUCGCAACGAGAAGAUGGAAGGGCUGCUCUAGAAAGAGACCCAAGUCUUCGUGGAAGUGGAGGUCGACCUAUGACUCGCUUCCGCUUUCAACGAAAUUUGCUCGGUGCCAUAAAUCGUCAAUUACGACGACUUAAUAUCCAAAGACCAGGUUAAUUGUGCUCUUCAGGUUAUUCACAUUCACCAAUGCGGAGAUGACCACAAAUUGGAAUGCCAAGGGGCGAGGUGACUAGCUUACGCAUCACUUUACAGCGAAGAUGAUUAAAAUUACUUGGCCUACGGUUAAGUGGCCGCCACAGUGC